UACGUAGGGGGCAAGCGUUGUCCGGAUUUAUUGGGCGUAAAAGGCUUGUAGGUGGCCACGCCAAGUCGGAUGUGAAAUCUCCAGGCUCAACCUGGAGGGGUCAUUCGAUACUGCCGUGACUAGAGGUCGGUAGGGGAGUGUGGAAUUCCUGGUGGAGCGGUGAAAUGCGCAGAUAUCAGGAGGAACACCCGUAGCGAAGGCGGCACUCUGGGCCGAUACUGACACUGAGGAGCGAAAGCGUGGGGAGCGAACAGG
rnacentral:rRNA from 1 species